GAUGAACGCUGGCGGCGUGCCUAAUACAUGCCAGUCGAGCGAACAGACGAGGAGCUUGCUCCUCUGACGUUAGCGGCGGACGGGUGAGUAACACGUGGAUAACCUACCUAUAAGACUGGGAUAACUUCGGGAAACCGGAGCUAAUACCGGAUAAUAUAUUGAACCGCAUGGUUCAAUAGUGAAAGACGGUUUUGCUGUCACUUAUAGAUGGAUCCGCGCCGCAUUAGCUAGUUGGUAAGGUAACGGCUUACCAAGGCAACGAUGCGUAGCCGACCUGAGAGGGUGAUCGGCCACACUGGAACUGAGACACGGUCCAGACUCCUACGGGAGGCAGCAGUAGGGAAUCUUCCGCAAUGGGCGAAAGCCUGACGGAGCAAUGCCGCGUGAGUGAUGAAGGUCUUCGGAUCGUAAAACUCUGUUAUUAGGGAAGAACAAAUGUGUAAGUAACUAUGCACGUCUUGACGGUACCUAAUCAGAAAGCCACGGCUAACUACGUG
rnacentral:rRNA from 1 species